AAGAGACAGCAGCAGCCGCGGGAAUACGAGGGGGGCAAGCGUUGUUCGGAAUUAUUGGGCGUAAAGGGCGCGUAGGCGGUUUGGCAAGUUUGGUGUGAAAUCUUCGGGCUCAACUCGAAGUCUGCAUCGAAAACUGCCGGGCUUGAGUAUGGGAGAGGUGAGUGGAAUUUCCGGUGUAGCGGUGAAAUGCGUAGAUAUCGGAAGGAACACCUGUGGCGAAAGCGGCUCACUGGACCAUAACUGACGCUGAGGCGCGAAAGCUAGGGGAGCAAACAGGAUUAGAUACCCCAGUAGUCCCUGUCUCUUAUAU
rnacentral:rRNA from 1 species